rnacentral:rRNA from 1 species
UACGUAGGGUGCAAGCGUUGUCCGGAAUUAUUGGGCGUAAAGAGCUCGUAGGCGGUCUGUCGCGUCGGCUGUGAAAACCCGGGGCUCAACCCCGGGCCUGCAGUCGAUACGGGCAGACUAGAGUGCGGUAGGGGAGACCGGAAUUCCUGGUGUAGCGGUGAAAUGCGCAGAUAUCAGGAAGAACACCCGUGGCGAAGGCGGCUUUCUGGGACGGUACUGACGCUGAGACGCGAAAGCGUGGGGAGCGAACAGG